rnacentral:rRNA from 1 species
UACAGAGGGUGCGAGCGUUAAUCGGAGUGACUGGGCGUAAAGGGCGCGUAGGCGGUUAUAUUAGUCUGAUGUGAAAGGCCCGGGCUUAACCUGGGAUGUGCGUUGGAAACGGUAUAGCUAGAGUUUGGGAGAGGGAAGUGGAAUUUCCGGUGUAGCGGUGAAAUGCGUAGAGAUCGGAAAGAACACUCGUGGCGAAGGCGACUUUCUGGCCCAAAACUGACGCUGAGGCGCGAAGGCGUGGGGAGCAAACAGG